UCAAGCAUUAAGAGCGCAGGGUGGAUGCCUUGGCACUGAGAGCCGAUGAAGGACGUGAUAAGCUGCGAAAAGCUUCGGGGAGGAGCAAAUAUCCAUUGAUCCGGAGAUAUCCGAAUGGGGAAACCCACUUGAGCAAACCUCAAGUAUCCAUACGCCAAUCCAUAACGUAUGGAAGGGAACCGGGGGAACUGAAACAUCUAAGUACCCCGAGGAGAAGAAAGAAACCUCGAUUUCCAAAGUAGCGGCGAGCGAAAUGGAAAGAGCCCAAACCGUGGUGCGUGCACCGCGGGGUUGUGGACUGCAUAAGGUACUCGAAUCAAUAGCCGAACAGUUUUGGGAAAUCUGAUCAGAGAGGGUGAAAAUCCCGUAGGCGAAAUUGAUGAGAGGCUGGCAGGAUCCAGAGUACCACGAGACACGGGAAACCUUGUGGGAAGCAGGAGGGACCACCCUCCAAGGCUAAAUACUCCUCAGUGACCGAUAGCGCAUAGUACUGUGAAGGAAAGGUGAAAAGGACCCCGGGAGGGGAGUGAAAGAGAACCUGAAACCCUGUGUUUACAAGCUGUGGAAGUGCCUUAUGUGCACAACCGCGUACUUUUUGUAGAACGGUCCGGCGAGUUACGUUUACUGGCAAGGUUAAGCACUAAAGGUGCGGAGCCGAAGGGAAACCAAGUCUUAAGAGGGCGUGAAGUCAGUAAGAGUAGACCCGAAACCGGGUGAUCUACCCAUGUCCAGGCUGAAGCUGCCGUAAGAGGUAGUGGAGGGCCGAACGCACAUCCGUUGAAAAGGGUGGCGAUGAGGUGUGGGUAGGGGAGAAAUUCCAAUCGAACCCGGAGAUAGCUGGUUCUCCUCGAAAUAGCUUUAGGGCUAGCCUCGUUUUAGUCUUAUGGAGGUAGAGCACUGAAUUUCCGCGGGGGCGUCAAAGCUUACCAAAGAAUAUCAAACUCCGAAUGCCAUGUAGAUGAUGAACGGGAGUCAGACUGCACGAGAUAAGUUGGGCGGUCAAAAGGGAAAGAGCCCAGACCACCGGCUAAGGUCCCAAAGUGUGUGUUAAGUGGAAAAGGAUGUGGGAAUUCGAAGACAACUAGGAUGUUGGCUCAGAAGCAGCCAUACAUUCAAAGAGUGCGUAACAGCUCACUAGUCGAGAGUCCCUGCGCCGAAAAUGUCCGGGGCUGAAACACAACACCGAAGCCGUGGACUCCGUAAGGAGUGGUAGAGGAGCAUUCUUAAAACCGACGAAGCUGUACCGGUAAGGAGCAGUGGAGGGAUAAGAAGAGAGAAUGCCGGAAUGAGUAGCGAGAGGAAGGUGGGAAUCCUUCCGGCCGAAUAUCUAAGGUUUCCAGAGUAAAGCUGAUCUGCUCUGGGUAAGUCGGGGCCUAAGGAGAGGUCGCAAGACGUAUCCGAUGGACAACAGGUUUAGAUUCCUGUACCGCAUAUAAACAGAACUGUGGGGACGCAUGUGGAAAGCAUAAGCCGGGAAUGGAAAGACCGGUACAAGCGAGGUAGGUGUGUGACAGGCAAAUCCGUCAUAUAAGCCGAAGACGUGAUGUGGAGCGAAAUUAAGUAGUGAAGUAUGUGAGCCAUGUGCCGAGAAAAGCCGCUAUUGUUUUAUAUGUGCCCGUACCGUAAACCGACACAGGUGGAUGAGGAGAGAAUCCUAAGGCCGACGGAAGAAGCAUUGUUAAGGAAUUCGGCAAAAUGACCCCGUAACUUCGGGAGAAGGGGUGCCCACUGAAUGGUGGGCCGCAGAGAAUAGGCUCAAGCAACUGUUUAGCAAAAACACAGGUCUAUGCGAAACCGAAAGGUGAAGUAUAUGGGCUGACGCCUGCCCGGUGCUGGAAGGUUAAGAGGAGAGGUUAGCGCAAGCGAAGCUUUGAAUUUAAGCCCCAGUAAACGGCGGCCGUAACUAUAACGGUCCUAAGGUAGCGAAAUUCCUUGUCGGGUAAGUUC
rnacentral:rRNA from 1 species